GGUCAAGCGAAUAAGGGCGUACAGGGGAUGCCUAGGCACCAGAAGAAGGGGCGCGGAAGGCUGCGAAAAGCUCGGUCGAGCUGCCAAACAAGCAUUGAAGCCGAGAUACCCUAAUCAACCGUGGGAAGUGAAACAUCUCAGUACCACGAGGAAAAGAAAGCAAACGCGACUCCGUUAGUAGAGGCGAUCGAAAGCGGAAAAGCCCAAACCAUUGGACAUGUCCAAUGGGGUUGUGGGGCCGACACUAGAUCGAUUGGAUGCUAGCCGAACAGUCUGGAAAGUCUGACCAUAGCGAGUGAUAGUCUCGUAGGCGAAAGCGUGAAAAUCGAUCGUUGGUACCCGAGUAAGACCUGACACGUGGA
rnacentral:rRNA from 1 species